rnacentral:rRNA from 1 species
GAUGAACGCUGGCGGCGUGCCUAAUACAUGCAAGUCGAGCGAACAGACGAGGAGCUUGCUCCUCUGACGUUAGCGGCGGACGGGUGAGUAACACGUGGAUAACCUACCUAUAAGACUGGGAUAACUUCGGGACACCGGCGCUAAUACCGGAUAAUAUAUUGAACCGCAUGGUUCAAUAGUGAAAGACGGUUUUGCUGUCACUUAUAGAUGGUUCCGCGCCGCAUUAGCUAGUUGGUAAGGUACAGGCUUACCACGGCAAGGAUGCGUAGCCGACCUGAGAGGGUGAUCGGCCACCCUGGAACUGGGACACGGUCCAGACUCCUACGGGAGGCAGCAGUAGGGAAUCGUCCGCAAUGGGCGAAAGCCUGACGGAGCAACGCCGCGUGAGUGAUGAAGGUCUUCGGAUCGUAAAACUCUGUUAUUAGGGAAGAACAAAUGUGUAAGUAACUAUGCACGUCUUGACGGUACCUAAUCAGAAAGCCACGGCUAACUACGUG